ensembl:lncRNA FAM86EP family with sequence similarity 86, member A pseudogene
CCCCGCCCACGCCAUGGCGCCCUAGGAGAACGCGGGGACAGAACUCUUGCUGCAGAGUUUCGAGCGCCGCUUCCUGGCGGCGCGCUCACUGCGCUCCUUCCCCUGGCAGGUGGGCGGCGGGGCGAGCGGAGAGGCCCGCGGGGCUCGCGGGAGUCCAGGGGCAGACGGGAUGUGUCUCCGUGCUGAAGCCCCCGGCGCUCCCGCCACGUGAGUGCCUGGGCUCCCGCCGGUCAGGUCGGCGCGACCCGGUCCCCGUCCCUGGGGCCUGGCCAGAGUCGCUCGCACCCCUCCUGCCCCGCGGGCUGGCGGCGUAAGCUGGGGGCGUCUCCACCGUCUUGGGGGGCAGACGCGCGCUCGUUGUGGGGUACAGUUCACGAUCAUUUUCACGACUUUUUAAAGGCAGUAAUCGUUCUGGUCACUGCGACACAGCUGCCCUCGCCCAUUCUAAAAAGUCAGCGCCCUCAGGACCGCAGGUAACCACGUCCUCCUGAGUGCGGUGACCAGGUCACAGGCUGUCCCUCGUGCCUCAGUGUUCUCAUCUGUAUGUCGAGCACUGCACAGAAUCGGCUCAUGCGCUGAGGCUCUCACGCCUGUGAUGGAAGAGACAGAGAAGGGGGUGGCCUCUUGUCUCCCUGGGGACCUCCCAUUCUCAGCACAGGCGCAUGGCAGGCAGCAGCCUCCCUUCUGCCAGCAGAGGAGCUUAAUGCACCCGGACACAUUUGUAAUUCAUGUGCGGUGAGCUCACUGGGAUGAGUCAGUUUGGAUAUAUAUUCCUCCCUGGGUCUGCCCCAUUUUAUGGGGUGUUGCUUAAUCGUUUGCGUUAUUCCAUUGACAUGAAAUAUUUGCACUCAGAGAUCAUUUCUGGUCAGGAGAAAUUUGUGCGUUUUUAACCCUAAAUAGAAACCUUCCUAAAAGCAUCAUAGGUCUCCAUUCAAUAUUGACUAUAAUUGUUCACAUGCCCACGCUGAAUGCUAACUUGGGCUCACCCUCAACACCCACGAGGUGGGUACUAUUAUUAUCACUCACAUUUGACCAGAGGGAUUGUUUGAUUAGGGUGCAGUAGUUGAGAGUUCAGACCCAGGAGACAGCCUGUCUGCUUCCAAUCCUGGCCCAGCCCCUGGCCCUGUGUGACCUUGGGCAAGUGACUGCAUCUCUCUGUGCUGUUGUUUUUUUCUUAAUAAAAUGGGGGAUAUAAUGAUA